AUACGUAGGGGGCGAGCGUUGUCCGGAAUGAUUGGGCGUAAAGGGCGCGUAGGCGGCCCGGUAAGUCUGGAGUGAAAGUCCUGUUUUUAAGAUGGGAAUUGCUUUGGAUACUGUCGGGCUUGAGUGCAGGAGAGGUAAGUGGAAUUCCCAGUGUAGCGGUGAAAUGCGUAGAGAUUGGGAGGAACACCAGUGGCGAAGGCGACUUACUGGACUGUAACUGACGCUGAGGCGCGAAAGUGUGGGGAGCAAACAGGAUUAGAUACCCUGGUAGUCCACACUGUAAACGAUGAAUGCUAGGUGUAGGGGGUAUCGACCCCUUCUGUGCCGCAGUCAACACAAUAAGCAUUCCACCUGGGGAGUACGUUCGCAAGAAUGAAACUUAAAGGAAUUGACGGGG
rnacentral:rRNA from 1 species